UAAAUUAAUUAAAAAUUAAUAUCUUUUCAAUGUAAAUGAAAUGCUUUAAUAAGCUAUAAUUUA
rnacentral:tRNA from 1 species